rnacentral:rRNA from 1 species
GGGAUUGCCCUAGUAACGGCGAGUGAAGCGGCAACAGCUCAAAUUUGAAAUCUGGCUCUUUCAGAGUCCGAGUUGUAAUUUGCAGAGGGCGCUUUGGCGUUGGCAGCGGUCCAAGUUCCUUGGAACAGGACGUCACAGAGGGUGAGAAUCCCGUACGUGGUCGCUAACCUUCGCCGUGUAAAGCCCCUUCGACGAGUCGAGUUGUUUGGGAAUGCAGCUCUAAAUGGGAGGUAAAUUUCUUCUAAAGCUAAAUACUGGCCAGAGACCGAUAGCGCACAAGUAGAGUGAUCGAAAGAUGAAAAGCACUUUGGAAAGAGAGUCAAAUAGCACGUGAAAUUGUUGAAAGGGAAGCGCUUGCAGCCAGACUUGCCUGUAGUUGCUCAUCCGGGCUUUUGCCCGGUGCACUCUUCUAUAGGCAGGCCAGCAUCAGUUUGGGCGGUUGGAUAAAGGUCUCUGUCAUGUACCUCCUUUCGGGGAGGCCUUAUAGGGGAGACGACAUGCAACCAGCCUGGACUGAGGUCCGCGCAUUUGCUAGGAUGCUGGCGUAAUGGCUGUAAGCGGCCCGUCUUGAAACACGGACCAAGGAGUCUAACAUCUAUGCGAGUGUUUGGGUGUCAAGCCCGAGCGCGCAAUGAAAGUGAACGGAGGUGGGAACCCUUAAGGGUGCACCAUCGACCGAUCCUGAUGUCUUCGGAUGGAUUUGAGUAAGAGCAUGGCUGUUGGGACCCGAAAGAUGGUGAACUAUGCUUGAAUAGGGUGAAGCCAGAGGAAACUCUGGUGGAGGCUCGCAGCGGUUCUGACGUGCAAAUCGAUCGUCAAAUUUGGGCAUAGGGGCG